rnacentral:ncRNA from 1 species
CCGGAUGCGGUGAAAGUCGCACGUCCGGUUCUGAGGGAGCCCCGGCUCGGUAACGGGCCGGGGCUACCCGAC